GUCACAAGGCACUUCCAGCCAGUCGCAACGGCGGGUCGCCAGCGCCGCAGUAGCUCGCGCGGUGCCUGUCGGUAGUCGCGUGCGGGGCGGCGGGGCGGCGGGGCGGCCGGCGGCGGCCAUGGGAGAUAUCCCAGCCGUGGGCCUCAGCUCCUGGAAGGCUUCUCCAGGGAAAGUGACCGAGGCAGUGAAAGAGGCCAUUGACGCAGGGUACCGGCACUUCGACUGUGCUUACUUUUACCACAAUGAGAGGGAGGUUGGAGCAGGGAUCCGUUGCAAGAUCAAGGAAGGCGCUGUAAGACGGGAGGAUCUGUUCAUUGCCACUAAGCUGUGGUGCACCUGCCAUAAGAAGUCCUUGGUGGAAACAGCAUGCAGAAAGAGUCUCAAGGCCUUGAAGCUGAACUAUUUGGACCUCUACCUCAUACACUGGCCCAUGGGUUUCAAGCCUCCUCAUCCAGAAUGGAUCAUGAGCUGCAGUGAACUUUCCUUCUGCCUCUCACAUCCUCGAGUGCAGGACUUGCCUCUGGACGAGAGCAACAUGGUUAUUCCCAGUGACACGGACUUCCUGGACACGUGGGAGAUUUUGAUCCGAUUUCAAAUCCAGAGGAAUGUGAUAGUGAUCCCCGGAUCUAUCACCCCAAGUCACAUUAAAGAGAAUAUCCAGGCGUCCUGCUCUUUGAAUGGCCCAGAGCAGCUCUGGGUGACCAGCCAACCUUAAGCCUGAAAGGUAUGGAUUUGGCUAAACUGUAAACUCAGUUCUCUCCAAUGGCUGCUGACGGGCCUCUUGGAACGAGACUGCAGGUCUCUUGUAGUGGUUAGAAUUGAGCACUGCUGACUGACCGGCAUCUGCUCCACAUGGUGUGUCCGGAAUUGGUGGGUUCUUGGUCUCACUGACUUCAGGAAUGAAGCCGCGGACCCUUGCGGUGAGUGUUACAGUUCUUAAAGGUGGUGUGUCCGGAGUUUGUUCCUUCUGAUGUUCGGAUGUGUUCGGAGUUUCUUCCUUCUGGUGGGUUCAUGGUCUCACUGGCUUAGGAGUGAAGGUGAGGACCUUUGCGGUGAGUGUUACAGCUCUUAAGGUGGCGCGUCUGGAGUUGUUCGUUCCUCCCGGUGGGUUCGUGGUCUUAUUGGCUUCAGGAGUGAUGCUGCAGACCUUUGCGGUGAGUGUUACAGCUCAUAAAGGCAGUGUGGACCCAAAGAGUGAGCAGCAGCAAGAUCUAUUGCAAAGACCGAAACAACAAAGCUUCCGCAGUGUGGAAGGGGACGGGAGUGGGUUGCCAGUGCUGGCUUGGGCAGCCUGCUUUUAUUCUCUUAUCUGGCCCCACCCACAUCCUGCUGAUUGGUCCAUUUUACAGAGAGCCGAGUGGUCUGUUUUGACAGGGUGCUGAUUGGUGCAUUUACAAUCCCUGAGCUAGACACAAAGGUUCUCCACAUCCCCACUAGAUUAGCUAGAUACAGAGUGUCAACACAAAGGUUCUCCAAGUCCCCACCAGAGUAGCUAGAUACAGAGUGUCGAUUGGUGCAUUCACAAACCGUGAGCUAGACACAGGGUGCUGAUUGGUGUGUUUACAAACCGUGAGCUAGAUACAGAGUGCCGAUUGGUGUAUUUACAAUCCCCUAGCUAGACAUAAAGGUUUUCCAAGUCCCCACCAGUCAGGAGCCUAGCUGGCUUCACCCAGUGGAUCCCGCACGGGGCCGCAGGUGAAGGCGCCUGCCAGUCCCGGGCGGUGUGCCGGCACUCCUCAGCCCUUGGGUGGUCUAUGGGACCUGGUGCCAUGGAGCAGGGGGCGGUGCUCGUUGGGGAGGCUCCUGCUGCAGAGGAGCCCACGGAGGGUCAGGGGAGGCUCAGGCAUGGCGGGCUGCAGGUCCCGAGCCCUGCCCUGCGGGGAGGCAGCUAAGGCCUGGCGAGAAAUGGAGCGCAGCGCCGGUGGGCCAGCACUGCUGGGGGACCUAGCACGCCCUCCUCAGCCGCUGGCCCGAGUGCUAAGCCCCUCAUUGCCCAGGGCCAGCAGGGCUUGCCAGCCGCUCCGAGUGCCGGGCCCACCAAGCCCACACCCACCCGGAAUUCGUGCUGGCCUGCAAGCACCACGCGCAGCCCCGAUUCCCACCGGCGUCUCUCCCUCCACACCUCCCCGCAAGCUGAGGGAGCCGACUCCGGCCUCGGCCAGCCCAGGAAGGGGCUCCCACAGUGCAACGGUGGGCUGAAGGGCUCCUCAAGUGCCGCCAAAGUGGGAGCCCAGGCAGAGGAGGCCCGGAGAGCUAGUGAGGGUUGUGAGGGCUGCCAGCAUGCUGUCACCCCUCAAUGGGGGCUGCCAGCAUGCUGUCACCCCUCAAUGGGGGCCUGGCCUAAGGUGCCCUCUGUGCCCUGCAGGGCAGCUAGGAUUGCCCCUGGGAGGACAUAGGCUGGGGAAGAUUAUCUGACCCUCCCAUGGGAGGAGCCACCGAGUGAGCAGCUCAGCAGGUGGCAGGGGGCCACAUCGCCCCAGUUCUGCCCUUCUGCCGUCGUGGCUCUCAAUGCCCGGGAUCCCCAUGGCCUAGCAAAAGUGAAUGUGACACGGGGACCUUGGGCCCAGCUGAGAUGCCCCCAUUCCUCUGUUAGGUCUGCUACACACUGAGGGGAAAUGCCAUCCUCAGGCAGUGAGACAGGACCAGGCUGACGUGAGACCUGAGGGCCAAAGCCGAAGUGAUCUGAUGGCUGAGGACAGACAGCAGCGGCGGGUGUUUGAUUUUGAAUUAACACAGCACGAUAUGGAUAACAUCCUCAGCCUAAACAGGAAUCUCCGACUGGCCAUGUUCCCCAUGUAAAUAUGGCUCCUUCUUUUUAAAACAGAGGGAAGAAUAUACAGAUUGAA